rnacentral:miRNA from 1 species
AUUUCACUCUUUCAACUGUU